rnacentral:sRNA from 1 species
AGCAGCCGCGGUAAUUCCAGCUCCAAUAGCGUAUAUUAAAGUUGUUGUGGUUAAAAAGCUCGUAGUUGAACCUUGGGCCUGGCUGGCCGGUCCGCCUCACCGCGUGUACUGGUCCGGCCGGGCCUUUCCCUCUGUGGAACCCCAUGCCCUUCACUGGGUGUGGCGGGGAAACAGGACUUUUACUGUGAAAAAUUAGAGUGCUCCAGGCAGGCCUAUGCUCGAAUACAUUAGCAUGGAAUAAUAGAAUAGGACGUGUGGUUCUAUUUUGUUGGUUUCUAGGACCGCCGUAAUGAUUAAUAGGGACAGUCGGGGGCAUCAGUAUUCAAUUGUCAGAGGUGAAAUUCUUGGAUUUAUUGAAGACUAACUACUGCGAAAGCAUUUGCCAAGGAUGUUUUCAUUAACCAGGAACGAAAGUUAGGGGAUCGAAGACGAUCAGAUACCGUCGUAGUCUUAACCAUAAACUAUGCCGACUAGGGAUCGGACGGUGUUAUUUUUGACCCGUUUCGGCACC